AGAGUUUGAUCCUGGCUCAGGACGAACGCUGGCGGCACGCUUAACACAUGCAAGUCGAACGAGAGAAGAGGAGCUUGCUUUUCUGAUCUAGUGGCGGACGGGUGAGUAACACGUGAGCAAUCUGCCUUUCAGAGGGGGAUACCGAUUGGAAACGAUCGUUAAUACCGCAUAACAUAAUUGAACCGCAUGAUUUGAUUAUCAAAGAUUUAUCGCUGAAAGAUGAGCUCGCGUCUGAUUAGCUAGUUGGUAAGGUAACGGCUUACCAAGGCGACGAUCAGUAGCCGGACUGAGAGGUUGAUCGGCCACAUUGGGACUGAGACACGGCCCAGACUCCUACGGGAGGCAGCAGUGGGGAAUAUUGCACAAUGGAGGAAACUCUGAUGCAGCGAUGCCGCGUGAGGGAAGAAGGUUUUAGGAUUGUAAACCUCUGUCUUCAGGGACGAAAAAAGACGGUACCUGAGGAGGAAGCUCCGGCUAACUACGUGCCAGCAGCCGCGGUAAUACGUAGGGAGCGAGCGUUGUCCGGAAUUACUGGGUGUAAAGGGAGCGUAGGCGGGAUCGCAAGUCAGAUGUGAAAACUAUGGGCUUAACCCAUAAACUGCAUUUGAAACUGUGGUUCUUGAGUGAAGUAGAGGUAAGCGGAAUUCCUAGUGUAGCGGUGAAAUGCGUAGAUAUUAGGAGGAACAUCAGUGGCGAAGGCGGCUUACUGGGCUUUAACUGACGCUGAGGCUCGAAAGCGUGGGGAGCAAACAGGAUUAGAUACCCUGGUAGUCCACGCCGUAAACGAUGAUUACUAGGUGUGGGGGGACUGACCCCUUCCGUGCCGCAGCAAACGCAAUAAGUAAUCCACCUGGGGAGUACGACCGCAAGGUUGAAACUCAAAGGAAUUGACGGGGGCCCGCACAAGCAGUGGAGUAUGUGGAUUAAUUGGAAGCAACGCGAAGAACCUUACCAGGUCUUGACAUCGUAUGCAUAGCUCAGAGAUGAGUGAAAUCUCUUCGGAGACAUAUAGACAGGUGGUGCAUGGUUGUCGUCAGCUCGUGUCGUGAGAUGUUGGGUUAAGUCCCGCAACGAGCGCAACCCUUACUGUUAGUUGCUACGCAAGAGCACUCUAGCAGGACUGCCGUUGACAAAACGGAGGAAGGUGGGGAUGACGUCAAAUCAUCAUGCCCCUUAUGACCUGGGCCUCACACGUACUACAAUGGCUGUCAACAGAGGGAAGCAAAGCCGCGAGGUGGAGCGAACCCCUAAAAGCAGUCUUAGUUCGGAUUGUAGGCUGCAACCCGCCUACAUGAAGUCGGAAUUGCUAGUAAUCGCAGAUCAGCAUGCUGCGGUGAAUACGUUCCCGGGCCUUGUACACACCGCCCGUCACGCCAUGGGAGUCGGUAACACCCGAAGCCUGUAGUCUAACCGCAAGGAGGACGCAGUCGAAGGUGGGAUUGAUGACUGGGGUGAAGUCGGAACAAGGUA
rnacentral:rRNA from 1 species